rnacentral:RNase_P_RNA from 1 species
CGAGGUGGCCGGGUGACCGCUCCUGCGGCGGCCUGGCCGUGCGCGGGGGAGGAAAGUCCGGGCUCCGCGAAGACACGGUGCCGGGUAAUGCCCGGCGGGGGCAAUCCCAGGGAAAGUGCCACAGAGAGGAGACCGCCCACCGGGGAUCUUUCGAUCCCGUGGGCAAGGGUGAAAGGGUGCGGUAAGAGCGCACCGCGGUGGCGGCAACGUCGCCGGCAUGGCAAACCCCACCGGGAGCAAGACCAAGUAGGGACGACAGCCCUUCAAUGGGCAAUCCUGUCUUCGGGAUGGUCGUCCGGGUAGGUCGCGCGAGGUGUCCGGCAACGGGCAUCCCAGAUGAAUGGUCACCGCCCGGCUGUUGCCGGGAACAGAACCCGGCUUACAGGCCACCCCGCAUC